rnacentral:sRNA from 2 species
ACUGAUGGAGCUGUGACCGUGGAGGAAAUUGGUGAUGUCGAUGCCCUGGAUGAAGUUUCUCAAGCAUAUGCGUCUUUGAAGGAUGUCGACGUUCUAGAUGUAUCUGAAGAAGGUACUCAAAUAUGGAUCCAGGCCGAAGCUUCAUAUAAUGAGCGCACUUCUAGAGUGGAAAAUUCAAUAAUCGCCCAACUCAAGGACCGCCUGGCUACCGCGAAGAACGCUACGGAGAUGUUCCGUGUCUUUUCAAAAUUCAAUGCCCUGCUUGUCCGACCCAAGAUUCGAAGUGCUAUUAGUAUACACCAAUCUGAAUUAAUCGAGCUAGUUAAGCACGAUAUUGCAAAACUGCAUGAGAGAUUCAAGCAACAGUAUGGUCAUUCUCAAGCACAUCCCAUGGCGCAGCUACGAGAUCUUCCUCCGGUAUCAGGUGCAAUCGUCUGGGCUCGUCAGAUUGAACGGCAACUUGAUGGCUAUAUGAGAAAGGUCGAGGACGUUCUGGGAGAAGACUGGGACUUGCAUGCUGAAGGGCAGAAACUCCAGGCUGAAAGUAACAUGUUCCGAAAGAAGCUUGAUACGCGACCUAUAUUUCAGAACUGGUUACAGGAUGUUCAACGACGAAAUAUUACGAUUUCCGGCCGCUUGUUUAAGAUUUUCCGCAAUCGUGCGACGGGGAACACUUUAGAACU